rnacentral:sRNA from 1 species
UGAGGGGCGCCGAAGUCGGGCCCCGGUCAAUCCACUCGCUGAGAUUCAGGAGACAUGUCAUGAGC